GGGGGAUAUUGCACAAUGGGGGAAACCCUGAUGCAGCGACGCCGCGUGGAGGAAGAAGGUUUUCGGAUUGUAAACUCCUGUCGUUAGGGACGAUAAUGACGGUACCUAACAAGAAAGCACCGGCUAACUACGUGCCAGCAGCCGCGGUAAAACGUAGGGUGCAAGCGUUGUCCGGAAUUACUGGGUGUAAAGGGAGCGCAGGCGGACCGGCAAGUUGGAAGUGAAAACUAUGGGCUCAACCCAUAAAUUGCUUUCAAAACUGCUGGCCUUGAGUAGUGCAGAGGUAGGUGGAAUUCCCGGUGUAGCGGUGGAAUGCGUAGAUAUCGGGAGGAACACCAGUGGCGAAGGCGACCUACUGGGCACCAACUGACGCUGAGGCUCGAAAGCAUGGGUAGCAAACAGGAUUAGAUACCCUGGUAGUCCAUGCCGUAAACGAUGAUUACUAGGUGUUGGAGGAUUGACCCCUUCAGUGCCGCAGUUAACACAAUAAGUAAUCCACCUGGGGAGUACGACCGCAAGGUUGAAACUCAAAGGAAUUGACGGGGGCCCGCACAAGCAGUGGAGUAUGUGGUUUAAUUCGAAGCAACGCGAAGAACCUUACCAGGUCUUGACAUCCUGCGACAGUGCUGGAAACAGUACUUUCCUUCGGGACGCAGAGACAGGUGGUGCAUGGUUGUCGUCAGCUCGUGUCGUGAGAUGUUGGGUUAAGUCCCGCAACGAGCGCAACCCUUAUGGUCAGUUACUACGCAAGAGGACUCUGGCCAGACUGCCGUUGACAAAACGGAGGAAGGUGGGGAUGACGUCAAAUCAUCAUGCCCUUUAUGACUUGGGCUACACACGUACUACAAUGGCGUUAAACAAAGAGAAGCAAGACCGCGAGGUGGAGCAAAACUCAGAAACAACGUCCCAGUUCGGACUGCAGGCUGCAACUCGCCUGCACGAAGUCGGAAUUGCUAGUAAUCGCAGAUCAGCAUGCUGCGGUGAAUACGUUCCCG
rnacentral:rRNA from 1 species